rnacentral:rRNA from 1 species
GACGAACGCUGGCGGCGUGCCUAAUACAUGCAAGUUGAGCGCUGAAGGUUGGUACUUGUACCAACUGGAUGAGCAGCGAACGGGUGAGUAACGCGUGGGGAAUCUGCCUUUGAGCGGGGGACAACAUUUGGAAACGAAUGCUAAUACCGCAUAAAAACUUUAAACACAAGUUUUAAGUUUGAAAGAUGCAAUUGCAUCACUCAAAGAUGAUCCCGCGUUGUAUUAGCUAGUUGGUGAGGUAAAGGCUCACAAAGGCGAUGAUACAUAGCCGACCUGAGAGGGUGAUCGGCCACAUUGGGACUGAGACACGGCCCAAACUCCUACGGGAGGCAGCAGUAGGGAAUCUUCGGCAAUGGACGAAAGUCUGACCGAGCAACGCCGCGUGAGUGAAGAAGGUUUUCGGAUCGUAAAACUCUGUUGGUAGAGAAGAACGUUGGUGAGAGUGGAAAGCUCAUCAAGUGACGGUAACUACCCAGAAAGGGACGGCUAACUACGUGCCAGCAGCCGCCGUAA